GGAAGAGGAAGUAGACAUCAUCAGAGAGUUUCCAAGGCCCCUCAAUGAGUCACCAGCCGAUUUCUCAACUCAGAGCCUCGUGCUGUGUCACUAGGUUCCCCAUCCUCAGCUUCUGAGAGCUGCAGACAUGGGGUAGCCCUGUGACACUCCCCCACACAUGUCCUCUGUCACCCACGUGUGGGCCCUAGUUUCCUUCCCAGACAGCAACUACAGCCAGACAUGCUGAGGCCUGCAGAAUUUCUCUUCCCACAUGAAUGACUGGGCCACUCUAUGCACAGCACAGCCCUGUGAGGGUUGUGACCAUCUGGCCUUGAUGGAGCCGCUUCCAACCACAACAACCUCCCUUCUGUCCCUCUGUACACUACAAGUCCUGGGAUCCUGGACAAGCAAGGGUACAAGACCGGACUGGCCCAGGAGAGACAUACCAGACAGUGUCCCCAGGUGACCUAGUGCCUCUGUGGAGCAGGCAGGAAGUGUUGUUGCCUGGCCACCCAGCCACCCACAGCCAUCUGCUCAGCUCCCUGGAAACACCCCUGUGGUCUCCGAGAUUACUCAGCAGUCCCCAGCUUCCUGUUCGGUGGGCUGGUUUGUGUCUCUUUUUGCUUUGUUUAUUUGCUUUUUAUGUGUGUUUCAAAAUUUCAAGUGGUGCAGUGAAAAGGAACAGGAGGGACAGAACUGAAUAUUAGUGGCCAGUAAAGUAACUAUCCACCAAGACUAGGGUUUGUUCCCAGGCUUCCUGUGGGGAAAUUAACCCCCAACUGUGAAGCACAAAUUGGGAGGCCACUUAAUACCAUUCUAGUGGUUAGAGAUGGGGCCUUGGGAAUAGAAGAGGUUUUGGUGCUGUCACUGGGAUGAACCUCAGGCAUGAAUCUUCCUGGAUCUAUAGGAACAGAGAGAGAAGGCAAAUACAUGUGUGCACAUCCACACAGGGUAUUUUGCACCAUUUGACCACGUGUACCACCCACGUAUCCAUAAUGACACCACGAAAUACCACUCUCAAUCUUAGAACAAAGCCAGGACCAAAAUAAACCUAUUUAUUUACUCAUGCAGUCGUCCAUUUGAAUGUUUUUGAGACAGGGUCUCUUGUUAUCCAGGUGAUCCUCGAACCUGGUAUAUAGGCAGAAUGACCUUGAACUACUGGUUUCUUGCUUCCACUUCCGGAAUGUUGGGAUUAAGCACUACACCUGAUUUAUGUUAUGCUGUG
ensembl:lincRNA